CCACCGCGGUUAGACGAGAGACCCUAGUUGAUACCAAAACGGCGUAAAGGGUGGUUAGGGACAAAAUAAUAAAGCCGAAUGGCCCCUUGGCUGUCAUACGCUUCUAGGCGUCCGAAGCCCUAUUACACGAAAGUAGCUUUAACAACUUACCCGAAUCCACGAAAGCUAAGAAACAAACUGGGAUUAGAUACCCCACUAUGCUUAGCCGUAAACCUAGACAUUUAAAUACAAUAAAAUGUCCGCCAGGGUACUACGAGCACCAGCUUAAAACCCAAAGGACCUGACGGUGUCUCAGACCCACCUAGAGGAGCCUGUUCUAGAACCGAUAUUCCCCGUUCAACCUCACCACUUUUAGCCACCCCAGCCUAUAUACCGCCGUCGUCAGCUUACCCUGUGAAGGAAAUAUAAGUAAGCAAAAUGGGUACAACCCAGAACGUCAGGUCGAGGUGUAGCGCAUGAAGUGGGAAGAAAUGGGCUACAUUUUCUACCACAGAAUAUUACGAAUAUGCACCAUGAAAUAAUGCUUAAAGGAGGAUUUAGUAGUAAAAGGGAAAUAGAGUGUCCCUUUGAACCCGGCUCUGAGACGCGUACACACCGCCCGUCACUCUCCCCAUUCAAACACAUCAAAUCAUACCUAAUAAUAUAAUACCUGUCCAGGGGAGGCAAGUCGUAACACG
rnacentral:rRNA from 1 species